rnacentral:rRNA from 1 species
AGAGUUUGAUCCUGGCUCAGGACGAACGCUGGCGGCGUGCCUAACACAUGCAAGUCGAAGGGGUAAUGACUUCGGUUAUUACUUAGUGGCGAACGGGUGAGUAACGCGUGAGGAACCUCCUCUCAGUGGGGGACAACAGUUGGAAACGACUGCUAAUACCGCAUAACACUUCUGAAUGCAUCAUUUGGAAGUCAAAGCUUUAUGUGCUGAGAGAUGGCCUCGCGUCUGAUUAGCUAUUGGUGGGGUAACGGCUCACCAAGGUGACGAUCAGUAGCCGGUCUGAGAGGAUGAACGGCACAUUGGGACUGAGAUACGGCCCAGACUCCUACGGGAGGCAGCAGUGGGGAAUAUUGGCAAUGGGGGAAACCCUGACCCAGCAACGCCGCGUGAAGGAAGAAGGCCCUCGGGUUGUAACUUCUUUUACCAGGGACGAAGAACGUGACGGUACCUGGAGAAAAAGCCACGGCUAACUCGUGCCAGCAGCCGCGGUAAUACGUAGGUGGCAAGCGUUGUCCGGAUUUACUGGGUGUAAGGGCGUGUAGGCGGAGAUGCAAGUUGGGAGUGAAAUCCCGGGGCUCAACCCCGGAACUCUUUCAAAACUGUAUCCCUUGAGUGUCGGAGAGGCAAGCGGAAUUCCUAGUGUAGCGGUAAAUGCGUAGAUAUUAGGAGGAACACCAGUGGCGAAGGCGGCUUGCUGGACGAUAACUGCGCUGAGGCGCGAAAGCGUGGGGAGCAAACAGGAUUAGAUACCCUGGUAGUCCACGCUGAAACGAUGAAUACUAGGUGUGGGAGGACUGACCCCUUCCGUGCCGCAGUUAACACAAUAGUAUUCCACCUGGGGAGUACGACCGCAAGGUUGAAACUCAAAGGAAUUGACGGGGGCCCCACA